CAGAGGGUGCAAGCGUUGUUCGGAAUUACUGGGCGUAAAGCGCGCGCAGGCGGGUCCUGCAAGUCAGAAGUGAAAUCUCAUUGCUCAACGAUGAGGCCGCUUUUGAUACUGCGGAUCUGGAGACCGGUAGAGGCUGGUAGAAUUGCAGGUGUAGCGGUGGAAUGCGUAGAGAUCUGCAAGAAUACCCGUGGCGAAGGCGGCCAGCUGGGCCGGUUCUGACGCUGAGGCGCGAAAGCGUGGGGAGCAAACAGGAUUAGAUACCCUGGUAGUCCACGCCGUAAACGAUGGGCACUAGGUGCUGGGGGGGAGCGACCCCGUCAGUGCCGUAGCUAACGCGAUAAGUGCCCCGCCUGGGGAGUACGGCCGCAAGGCU
rnacentral:rRNA from 1 species